rnacentral:rRNA from 1 species
CCUACGGGAGGCAGCAGUGAGGAAUAUUGGUCAAUGGCCGUAAGGCUGAACCAGCCAAGUCGCGUGAAGGAAGAAGGAUCUAUGGUUUGUAAACUUCUUUUAUAGGGGAAUAAAGGUAUCCACGGGUGGAUAUUUGCAUGUACCCUAUGAAGAAGCAGCGGCUAACUCCGUGCCAGCAGCCGCGGUAAUACGGAGGAUGCGAGCGUUAUCCGGAUUUAUUGGGUUUAAAGGGUGCGUAGGUGGUUUUUUAAGUCAGCGGUGAAAGUUUGUGGCUCAACCAUAAAAGUGCCGUUGAAACUGGCAGCCUUGAGUGUGUUUGAGGUAGGCGGAAUGCGUGGUGUAGCGGUGAAAUGCUUAGAUAUCACGCAGAACUCCGAUUGCGAAGGCAGCUUACUAAGCUAUAACUGCCACUGACGCACGACAGCGUGGGGAUCAAACAGGAUUAGAUACCCGGGUAGUC